UACUUAGGAAUCUACCCAGUAGCGGGGGACAACUCGGGGAAACUCGAGCUAAUACCGCAUACGCUCUACGGAGGAAAGCAGGGGAUCUUCGGACCUUGCACUAUUGGAUGAGCCUAAGUCGGAUUAGCUUGUUGGUGAGGUAAAGGCUCACCAAGGCGACGAUCCGUAGCUGGUCUGAGAGGACGAUCAGCCACACUGGGACUGAGACACGGCCCAGACUCCUACGGGAGGCAGCAGUGGGGAAUAUUGGACAAUGGGGGCAACCCUGAUCCAGCAAUGCCGCGUGUGUGAAGAAGGCCU
rnacentral:rRNA from 1 species